rnacentral:ncRNA from 1 species
CCCGCUGAAUUUAUGCAUAUUUCUAAGUGGAGGACAAUAAACUAACCAGGAUUCACUCAGUAGCGGCGAGCAAAGAGGGA